CGCUCGAAAGACGCUAGAUGUGGGGGGGGCCUUAGAGUUGCGUACUUGACGAAAAUUAUGUUCUUAAUACAGGAUGGGCAAAAAAUAAGUGCAGUGCAAAAAAAAUUGGCUGCUUCAUAUAUUUUGGCUGAUCCAUUUUCUAUGGAAGGGUAAACAUUUUUCGCGAAUUCGGAGUUGGUCCCAUAGUAAAAGUUGCUCAGUAUAAUCCCAAAACCUCUCUCGCAACGGGAAUGCACUUAUGUUUUGGCCACCGUGUAGGUACAUAUUUUUUAAAGCACAGUUCUGUUGUUGUUUUGAGUCUACGCAUGAGUAUGAGCUAAGUGAUAGCAAGAUAAAUGCUGGCCAAUGGAGCUGGCGUUUUCUCCUCAAGUACCAAAAGGCGCAGCUGCGAAUUCCUCAGAACUUUCACGGACUUUCAUUUAAUAUAGUCCUACUACUGAAAAUUGCCUUACUGAAAUUUCCAUUUAGUUUCUUUCCCUUGUAUGUUGCCUUAAAUAGUAGAUUACCGAACAACGAACCUCCACCGUCUAACACUGAUAAUAUUUGAGGUUACUCUGCCUAAUAUGUAUUGUAUUAUUAUUUAUAGUAGUGUUACUUUGUUUUAUAUGUUUUAAGAGUAUUCUAACUCUUUCUAGUUUACCAUCUGAUGCUUCCUGACUUUUGACUAAUCUCUAAGAAUAUCUAGGUAUUGCUUUCAGUAUGUUCUAUUACUUCUAUUGGCUUGUUUGUGAAAUAAUUUUCGGUAUGUUAUUAUUUUUGUAUUAGAUGUUGUCAUUGGUGCUUUUAUUACAAAAAAAAUCUAAAACUACAUUCCACACUAGGUAGCUUGUCUUGUCAUAUGGAAAUGCUAAAAUAUAAGGAAUAAAUAUUGUUCAUGUUGACUUAUUAUUCUGUGAACCUGUAUGUAUUUGUAUUUCUUUCAUGUUGCUUGCAUUUACUUCACAUACAGUUAGCCUCAGUUAUAUGAUGUAUAAUUUAACCGAAGGCAUUCCAUUUCAAAUAUCUAGUGUCUGUCCUCGCCCUGUUAUUUCCACUUACCUAAUUUUAAUCAGUAUUUUUAUAGAUGUUAAGACUGACACAAGAUUUAAGUAUGUAUUGUAUUGAAAUCACUAAGUAUUAAUUUAAAUUGUUAUUUACAUUAUUUAAAAUGUGGUGGUUUUUACACUGUUAAUUAACUAAUUUAUUAUUAUGAUUGAAUUCCCGAAUUCAAUAUGUCACGUAAUUUAGAAAAAAAAAAGUUUUCCAGAUAUUAACCCACAGACAUUAUGUAUGGUAACCAAAAUUUUUAUAUUUAACGCAAUGUAAAAAUAAAGUUUUUGUUAAACU